rnacentral:rRNA from 1 species
AUGAUUAGAGUACUGUCCGUCACUGCCGUUGGAUUGGCCUGUACAGCGUUGAGGCUGUACGAGGAAGAGCUCAAGUCCCUCUUCACCUCCAGGCCGGCCUUCCUCAAGACCUUGGACCCCGCCGGGGCUGAUCCGGUCAUCGGCCGCGACGACGAGAUCGACCGUGUCAUCUGCAUCCUCUGCGGCCGGACCAAGAACUGCGCCGCCCUGGUCGGUGCGGCCGGCGUCGGCAAGACGGCCAUCGUCGAGGGCCUAGCCCAGCGCAUCGCAGCUGGGGCGGUCCCCGACGCGCUCGUCGGUGCCCGCAUCGCGGAGCUUGACGUCGGGGCGAUGGUCGCUGGUACCCAGUGGCGCGGCAUGUUCGAGCAGCGCUUGAAGGAUGCGAUCAAUCAGGCGGAGGGUGCUGAUGGCAAACUCAUCCUCUUCAUAGACGAGAUGCACAUGAUUGUUGGUGCUGGUGACCGAGAUGGCCCCGGGGACGCCGCCAACAUCCUCAAGCCGGCGUUGGCCCGUGGCCGCAUCCGUUGCAUAGGCGCUACCACAUCCGAAGAGUACCGCAGAUACAUCCAGAAGGAUGCGGCCCUUGAGCGGCGGUUCCAAAAGGUUGAUGUCGAGGAGCCGAGCGUGCAGGCGACAGUUGCCAUCCUGCAGGGGCUGAAGCAGUGGUACCAAGACCAUCAUGGACUGACGAUUCGCGACGACGCUCUAGCUGCUGCCGCACAGCUCGCCGCCCGCUAUAUUACAGGUCGUCAGUUUCCUGAUAAAGCAAUUGAUUUGAUGGACGAGGCAUGCACUACCGUGAAGUUGCAUAAACCAAAAGAAGUUCAAAAUAAGGAAACUAACACAAGAAAUGCACCGGAGGAGAUAACCGUUGCUCCAUGUCAUAUUGCACAGGUUGUGAGCCGAUGGACUAAAAUUCCGAUCACCACACUUGGUCGAGAGGAAGAGAAGUUGAGCCACCUAGCAGACAGAUUGCAUGAGAGGGUUGUUGGACAGCAUGAAGCCGUUAAUUUGGUUGCCCAAGAAGUGCUACGUUCUGGGGUCGGCUUUGAUCAAUCUGGCCAACCAAUUGGCUCUUUCCUCUUUUUGGGCCCGGCUGGUGUUGGAAAGACAGAGCUUGCCAAAGCACUUGCCGAGAAGUUGUUCGACAAUGAGAAGGCAUUAGUCCGCUUUGACAUGUCUGAAUAUGCCGACAGUGGUUCUGUGUCACGUCUCUUUGGAGGACCUCGAAGGUUUAGCUUCUAUGAAGAAGACGGACAACUCACCGAGAAAGUCAGGAGCCAACCGUAUAGCGUUGUUCUUUUUGACGAGGCAGAUAAGUCACAUCCCUCAAUUUUCAAGGUUCUCAUUCAACUCCUUGAUGAUGGCAUGCUGGUUGAUGGGAAAGGACGCAACGUAAAUUUCAAGAACACUAUCAUCAUCAUGAGCUCAACUCUAGGAGCAGAGAACCUGUCAGCUAGAAUGGCUGGAGAAAACAUAGAAACUGCACGAGAUCUUCUCAUGAAACAGGUAUGUGUAUCCCAAACUGUCCCUUGUAAAGUCCCGGUGCGCACCCUGCUGAUUGACAAAUUUACUUGUUGA